rnacentral:rRNA from 1 species
UGAUUAGAUUUUAUUUAUUAAUUUUAUUGAUUUUAAAUUUAAAGUAUUAAAAAUAAUUAUAUUGAAAAAAGUUUUAGUAUUGUUUAAAGAAAAAAUAAAUAUUAAUAAUAGUUUAAUAGUAUUGUAAAAGAAAAUUGAAAUAUUUUGAAAAAUUUUUAUUUUAAAAGAAAAUUUAAUUUAUUGUACCUUGUGUAUCAGCGUUUAUUAAAUAAAAAAUAUUUAAAAUAUUUUUCUCGAUUUUAAAAGAGUUAAUAUAAUAUAAAAGUUAAUGUAAUAAAAUUAUUUUUAAUAUUAUAUUAGAAAUGAAAUGUUAUUCGUUUUUAAUGGUAUCUAGUUUUUCAAGAAAUGAAUUUAAUUCAGAAAUUGUAAAUUUAUUUAAAAAAUUUUUUAAUUAAAUAAUUUAUAAUUUUAAUAUUUUAUGGGAUAAGCUAUAAAAUAAAUUUUUAAAAAUAAUAAAUAAAUUUAAUAAAUAUAUGCUUAGAAUUAGCAAUUGUUUAUAAUUAUGUUAUAAUUUAUUUUAUAAAAUAAAUUAUUUAUUAAAUUUUAAAUAUUUAUUGAAAUAUUAAUUUUAAUUUUUAAAAUUAAGUAAUAAUGAUAGAAUUAGUAUAUUUUAUUGUAAAUAUAAAUUUAAAUGAAAAGUUUAAGUAAAGAAUUCGGCAAAAAUAAUGUUCGCCUGUUUAACAAAAACAUGUCUUUUUGAAAUAAAUUUAAAGUCUAACCUGCCCACUGAAAUUUUUAAAUGGCCGCAGUAUUCUAACUGUGCAAAGGUAGCAUAAUCAUUAGUCUUUUAAUUGAAGGCUGGAAUGAAUGGUUGGACGAGAUAUUAACUGUUUCAUUUAAAAUUUUUUUAGAAUUUUAUUUUUUAGUCAAAAAGCUAAAAUUUAUUUAAAAGACGAGAAGACCCUAUAAAUCUUUAUAUUUUGUUUAUUUUAAUUAUAAAGAUUAUUUUUAUUAUAAUAAAUUAAAAUAUUUUAUUGGGGUGAUAUUAAAAUUUAAAAAACUUUUAAUUUUAAAAAUCAUUAAUUUAUGAAUAAUUGAUCCAUUAGUAAUGAUUAAAAAUUUAAGUUACUUUAGGGAUAACAGCGUAAUUUUUUUGGAGAGUUCAUAUCGAUAAAAAAGAUUGCGACCUCGAUGUUGGAUUAAGAUAUAAUUUUGGGUGUAGCCGUUCAAAUUUUAAGUCUGUUCGACUUUUAAAUUCUUACAUGAUCUGAGUUCAAACCGGCGUAAGCCAGGUUGGUUUCUAUCUUUAAAAAAUUAUAAUAUUUUAGUACGAAAGGACCAAAUAUUAAAAUAAUUAUAUUUUAAUUAAGAAUAUUAUUAAUUAUAUUGCUAUUUUGGCAGAUUAGUGCAAUAAAUUUAGAAUUUAU